AGAUGUGGCAUUAGUCAUAUCCUUUGACAAAAGACAUCUUGGACACAGAACAGCAACAAAAUGCUAUCCACUGUGGAGAUAUUUUUUGAUGGAAUGUGGCCCCAUGAUUUGAUGCAGCUGGAGCUGAGCAACCCAGUACAAGAGGCUACUUGAACUGACCCAGAUGGGAGUUAAUGAGGAAGUCUGGCAACAGCCAAUCUGAACUGGAUGCCAAGGGGAGUAAUCGGGUCUCAGCUGUGUUUGUUUAGCACUAUAAGAAUACACCUUGCUGUAGGGGGUGUUUGUUUGAUUCUUUUAAUAAAGCUGGAAGAUGGGUACUACUAUAUUAGUGUCAGUCUGUCAUUCUGUUCAUCUAGCUGUAGGUGCUGUUCACCCUGUUUGUCAUUGCUGGUGGCGAUAAUCCACAAUGGAACUUCUUUUUGCUUUUUCUUCUACCUUAUGAUUCUAGUGAUGUGCAGCAUAAAGGAAUCUGUGAUAAGUUAG
rnacentral:lncRNA from 1 species